rnacentral:rRNA from 1 species
UACGUAGGGUGCGAGCGUUGUCCGGAAUUAUUGGGCGUAAAGAGCUUGUAGGCGGUUUGUCGCGUCUGCCGUGAAAUUUCGAGGCUCAACCUCGAACUUGCGGUGGGUACGGGCAGACUAGAGUGUGGUAGGGGAGACUGGAAUUCCUGGUGUAGCGGUGAAAUGCGCAGAUAUCAGGAGGAACACCAAUGGCGAAGGCAGCACUCUGGGACGUGACUGACGCUGAGACGCGAAAGCGUGGGGAGCAAACAGG